rnacentral:rRNA from 1 species
CCUACGGGUGGCAGCAGUAGGGAAUCUUUCACAAUGGGCGAAAGCCUGAUGGAGCAACGCCGCGUGCAGGAUGAAGGUCUUCGGGUUGUAAACUGCUUUUAUAAGCGAGAAAUAUGAUGGUAACUUAUGAAUAAGGAUCGGCUAACGACGUGCCAGCAGCCGCGGUCAUACGUCGGAGCCGCGCAUUAUCCGGGGUGACUGGGUGGAUAGAGUUGCGUAGUUGGGAUAAUAAGUAGCUAGUGAAAUCUGGUGGCUCAACAAUUCAGACUAUUAGCUAAACUGUUAAGCUCGAGACGGUUAGAGGUAACUGGAAUUUCUAGUGUAGGAGUGAAAUCCGUAGAUAUUAGAAGGAACACCAAUAGCGUAGGCAGGUUGCUGGGACGGUUCUGACACUAAGGCACGAAAGCGUAGGGAGCAAACGGGAUUAGAUACCCGAGUAGUC